rnacentral:lncRNA from 1 species
AAAGAACUAACCUAACAACCUUUAGUUUUCUGUUAUUUUCUUCAGUUUGUUGGUACCCUGGAUCUUAAUUUUGUUUUAGGUUUAGUUUAAUUUUUGGAUUUUGGUUUGAUUAGAGUUUAAGAUGGAGAUCGAGAUAUUUUAGGUAUAUAGGAUGAAGGAGAAAAAGACUGGGGCAAAAUAGUCAUAUUUCACUUGGACUUCACUGGCAUUUUGCAACACCAUCAGUAUCAGGGACAAAUCUUGCAACAAAACCAUACUAACGAAAUAUCACAAGGACAAAAUUGUAAUUUACUCUAUAAAUAAUAUUGGCAUGUUACCUGACAAUAACCAAGAUCAAAGUUGUAGAAUGAGCAAAUCAUCAAUAUAUCAUGCACAAUGCAUACAUUUGGAUUAUCAUCACCCUCAUAGAAUGACCUGUCAAAAACCUCAUUUUAAAUAAUUUGAAAUGUAUGGUUAUUUUCAUAUAUUCGAUAAUAGAAAUUAUCUAUUAAGUACUAAUUGGAAAACAAAAUUAUCUUCUAUUAAAGUAUUAAGAUAUAUGAUAAGGUAACAAAAAUUGCAAUACCUGAUCCCAUUUCUUGUACAGAUCACCAGAAAGAACGAAGUGAAAUCCAUACUUUCUUAACAUAAUUCAUUUGGCUAAAAAAAAAGUUUCUUAACAUGAUUAUUACCUCAUCAGAGAUACGAAAGUAUACAUCAGCACCUCUUUAUAUUGACCACUUGAUUUUAACAUUUCAAUCCACCAUGAGGCAUUUCCUUCUCUGAUGUAAAGAUCUACCAGGCAUACUAAAUAAGUACUGAAGGUGUUUCUGUGGAAUAUUCAACAUCUUUUCUGAUUGAUUCAACAUGAAGUAAGUUAAUCCCAUCAUUUCCUGCAGAUAAUAUAUAUAUAUAUAGAAGUGUAUUUGGGUGAUUUCCGUCUUCUAUCCACUGAAUUACAAAAGAUAUGAGUCUGUAACUUUGUUUGUUUAUUUCCAGAAAUACCCCUCUGCUCCUAAAAGCUUGUGCUUAUAUAUANCUCAGCAUAUAAAUUGUUAAAAAAAUCACAACACCUCUUGGAAGUAUCCUCAUUUGAUUAAGAUUCAAGCUUACUUUUCUUAUGCCCCCAAAAAAUCAAUUGUCAAUCUCUAAAAAUCCUGCAGUAAGAAAAUUACAAACAUAAGUCCAUAUAUUUUUGUAGCAAUGACAAUCAAAAUCUGUUUCAAAUAUGGAAAUUUAACACUUCAGCCUAACGUAUAUUAAUUAUAGGCAACUCUUAGUUAGAACCAAAUACACUUCUAUUUCUAAUUGAGUUAAAACUACAAACAAUAAAUUUUCUUUCCCUGAUUGAAUCUCUAAUAGCUCAAUAAUUUAAUCCAAUAACAUUAAGACAUUUCAUCAAACACCUAAAGUGCAGAGAAGAAGAAUCUACAACUAAACAGUACUUUUUUGGGUUUCAAGACUAUUUAAACUUAACUAUUGUUUGACCAAUCAUCUUCAUUUGAUGGGUGAUUUCUAUUAGGUGACCUGCUUCAAAAAACCAACAAAACAAAAAAUAAAUGGACGAGAAAUAGAAAGAAAAAAAGAAACCCAGAAAUCGGAGGAGAAAACACACAAUUAAACUUACAACCUAGAAAUCAGAGGAGAAAGACAUGUAUUCUUUUUCUUGAUCGAUGAUGACGGUGAACCAAACUGACAUCGGAACCAGACGUCAUACUACAACUACAAAUAAUAAAGGUACAACCCAAUAGCCCCAGUGAUGAAGGGAGGCCUGAAGAUGUUAGCCUAAUUUAAAAUACCUAACAAAAACAAAAACGAAAUCAAUGAAAUACACACACAAAAAAAAAAAUCAAGAACGUUACCUAACAGAGGAAGAGGGAAACGCAGAGGAUUGUUGAACGUCGGGGAAUGAAAGAAAGAGGAAACGGUGGUGUCGAUAGAAGAAAAAGAACCUCCAAAUAAAACCCUAUUCUUCAAAGAAACAUGUAUGUAUGUUGUUUUGAGAGAAGCCAGAGGGAUGAGUGAAGAAGGUUAUUUUAAGCGCGAAUACACCGACCCAACCCUUUCGACUUCCGAUUUCUAACGGUUCUUUUUAUAAAACAUUCCUAAAUUACCAUACUAACAAAAUAACAUUUCCAUUUAUCUUAAGCCCCUUAACUUUUGUUUUUUUACUUUAACCUGCCUUUUUUCUUUUUAAUUUUUAUUACAAAUUUAGUCUAAACUUAUUUUUUUUACAACUUUCUUUUUAUAUAAUUUCUAAAAUUUAGGCUUUUAAAAAAAAUUAUUUUGUUACAAUUUUAUAAAAUUUGAUUUUUUACAAAUAUUCUUUUAAUUUUGUUUUAUAUUUUCUUUUCUUAGAUUUUUCUGAUUUUAUAAAUUAUAUUUUUUUAAUUAGUUUUCUAUAUUCUACAAAAAUUAUUUUUUACAUAAUUUUUUUUUUCAAAUUGUUUUUAAAAAACUAAUAUUCUUUAGAAAAUUAUUUUUACAAAGAGUUAUAUAUUUGGUUUUAUGCAUGUAUUUUAAAAAAAUUCCCGCAUUUAAAUAAAUAUUAUUCUUUAAAAUUUAUUUACUAUUUUUAUAUAUUCAUUUACAUGGUCGGUUUCAAAAAUAAUCUUUUUAAGAGUGCACUUUUAUGUUACAGUUAAAUGUCUCAUCCAAAUUCCUUUGUUAUACAAUUUUGGAAUGGUGAAAACAUUUAAAUAUUUCAAAGGGAGGCUCAUCCUUAACUCAAGUAAUAAAACAUUUAAAAGUUAAAACUUCUAUUGUUUUCAUAAUCUUUAAAAUAUCUAUAAUAUAUAACCAAACAAUAUACAUAUAUAACUAAAUAAAAAAGAAAAUGUAGAAAUAUUUAAAAUAUCGAAAAAUUCAAUCACUAUCUAGACUUCACCCAUCAUCCAAAAGAACCAAAAAUUAUGAAUCUUUCAAAACUCAAAACUCAAAACCCUCACUCCGAACCUAUCAUGAACUAUUUGUUUUCUUUUAUGUCACAAUCAUUUCUUCUCCGGUCCCAUUGUGUCGUUAGUUUAUAUCCCCGUCAUCGAGCCACUACUCACAUUAACACUCUUCGU